AAAAAACAGGUAAAUGUGUAGGUAAUAACGAACGUGCGAAAUGUGAAUUUAAUUGCAAAACAUACACACGCGUUUCGUUAGAUAAUUAACGAGUUAGACGAUUCUGACGCAAUAUCAACCGUUUUUGUUACACAUUGAUAUUUUUCCUUUUUAAUUAACUGUGCCUAAUUAACAAAGAAGCGAAAUAUAUUAGAUCAGAUUUAAUAGGAGUAAAGAAAGAAAAAUAUUAUUUUUAUAUCAUAUAUACUACCGUGAGUUAUAAGCGUAACACUGACAUGGUAUACUCAUUCUUCGCCUUUUUACAUGUUUUAGAAGAAACGCCAUUCUCCUUUUCCUUUUUUUUUACAUAUUUUAUACACCGUUUUUUCCUUUACUCGGUCGUUGCAAUUUUUUAUUUCCUAUACAGGGUUCGCAAAUUCUCCCUUAUUUUUUACAUAUCCAAAACGACACUUUUUCCGGAUAUUAAAUGUCCUUUUAAAAAAUCGUCAAAAUUCGGCUGCAGGGAAUAAUGCAACGAAUUCUUUUCACUCGUUCCAAAAAAAAUUCUAAACGAUUAUCACUUUGGACAACUUCCCAUUUGUCACCCAGUAUACGUAUACUGGUAUGCACGGUACGUCGACUAGGAAUGUCGUAGGUGGGUCUCAAGAAUCGAAAGGGG
rnacentral:misc_RNA from 1 species